CAGUCGCCGCGGUAAUACGUAGGGUGCGAGCGUUAAUCGGAAUUACUGGGCGUAAAGCGUGCGCAGGCGGUGAUGUAAGACAGAUGUGAAAUCCCCGGGCUCAACCUGGGAACUGCAUUAGUGACUGCAUCGCUGGAGUGCGGCAGAGGGGGAUGGAAUUCCGCGUGUAGCAGUGAAGUGCGUAGAUAUGCGGAGGAACACCGAUGGCGAAGGCAAUCCCCUGGGCCUGCACUGACGCUCAUGCACGAAAGCGUGGGGAGCAAACAGGAUUAGAUACCCGGGUAGUCCCUGUCUCUUAUAC
rnacentral:rRNA from 1 species